UAUGGCGACCGGCGCACGGGUGAGUAACACGUAUCCAACCUGCCGAUGACUCGGGGAUAGCCUUUCGAAAGAAAGAUUAAUACCCGAUGGCAUAGUUCUUCCGCAUGGUAGAACUAUUAAAGGAUUUCGGUCAUCGAUGGGGAUGCGUUCCAUUAGGUUGUUGGUGAGGUAACGGCUCACCAAGCCUUCGAUGGAUAGGGGUUCUGAGAGGAAGGUCCCCCACAUUGGAACUGAGACACGGUCCAAACUCCUACGGGAGGCAGCAUG
rnacentral:rRNA from 1 species